UACGAAGGGGACUAGCGUUGUUCGGAAUUACUGGGCGUAAAGCGCGCGUAGGCGGUUUUGCAAGCCAGAGGUGAAAUGCCUGAGCUCAACUUAGGAAUUGCCUUUGGGACUGCGAGGCUUUGAGGACGGGAGAGGUGAGUGGAAUUCCCAGUGUAGAGGUGAAAUUCGUAGAUAUUGGGAAGAACACCGGUGGCGAAGGCGGCUCACUGGCCCGUUUCUGACGCUGCAGCGCGAAAGCGUGGGGAUCAAACAGG
rnacentral:rRNA from 1 species